UCCUACGGGGGGCAGCAGUGGGGAAUAUUGGGCAAUGGGCGCAAGCCUUACCCAGCAAUACCGCGUGAGUGAAGAAGGUCUUCGGAUUGUAAAGCUCUUUGCUCAGGGACGAACAGAUGACGGUACCUGAAGAACAAGCCCCGGCUAACUACGUGCCAGCAGCCGCGGUAAUACGUAGGGAGCAAGCGUUGUCCGGAAUUACUGGGUGUAAAGGGAGCGUAGGCGGGAUGGCAAGUUGGGUGUUAAAUCUACCGGCUCAACUGGUAGUCGCACUCAAAACUGCUAUUCUUGAGUGAAGUAGAGGC
rnacentral:rRNA from 1 species